CAUCGCACUGCGCUGGUGUCCUGGCUGGCCUGGCACAAAACACCUGCGGGACUGAUGUGUCAGCUGGGGACUGCCAAGAACGGUGUCAAUCUCAGGCCUUUCAGUGCUCUGUCUCCCUUUCUGCUAAACAAAAGGGGAGAGGAAAGCAACGGCAGAAGGUUUCCGUUCGGUUAGUUUGUUUCGGUUUUGUUAAAAAACACGGGAGCGUAGCUUCUUUGAUAGAAACCUUGUUCUUUCUCAAGGGUUUGUGCCCUGCCCCCUUGCAAAGCUUCGAGUGAAAUACAGCCUGAUAUUUGCAUGUACGGUUCUUACAGUCGACGAUCAGAAAUCAGUCCAACAAAGGCACAUGCAACACACCAUUUCUUUUUCAAUGAAAAUAAUUCACUAGUGAAAUAUAUAAAAAUCCGUGUGUGAAAUAUUUGAAUACAAGAUGAAAGUAAGCGGAUUUUUUUGCUUAUCUGGUGUGAGAGAUGUAAAUGUACAAUGGUUUUGGCCUCUUCUCUGCACAUGAGAUCUAUUCUAUCUUAGGCUGCCAGCCUCAAGGGACUCUCUUUGAGUCUAUACACAAGGGAAAUCGGCAAAACACCUUCAAAAGAUAAUCCCAAGAGAUCAAACUCACAGCUUUACUGCAUACUAAAAACGUUGGUGUGGGUUUUAGAGCACAGUCUCAUCCAUUUUCCCCCCUCCUAACUUCUGAGUAUUACAUUAAUAAUCAUGAGCUGACCCUCCGUUCUGUGAGAAGGGAAGAGCUGCCAACCCGGCCUGUGCUCUUGCUGCUCCUCAGGUGCCAGCCAUCCUUUCUCCUCAGUGCUUCUGUGGCAUAUGUGAGGUGUAUCCAGGGCUGCCAUUUCUGCUCUGUUCAUAGAUUGGAAAGUGCUGUGCUCUUUCCAACCUUGAAGCAGCAGAUGCUUCUCUCCCCCUUCACAGAAAUGUCCACCAUCCUACUGGAAGCUGUUGCUUACCUUGUGCAAAAGCGAUGUUUGAUUAUCGCAAUUACACUAAAAUAAUUACUGGAAAUACAUCAAAAAACAAAAAAUAAUGUCAUGUUUGCCACCUUUGCCCGGACCUGAGCUUUUUUAUCUGGGUCAGUUUCUCAUCUCUUCUACUUAAUUCCAUCCAGAAUCAAAUGCUCAGAAGGUGUUUUAGGAACUCUCAAGUAGGUAAGUGGCCUUAUACAGUAGCACCCCAAAACAUGAAGUUUAAUGUCACCAGCCAUAACUGCCACAGACAGCAAGGCUGUUCACAUUUGAAUCAUCCCCCUUGAGUUGUGCUUUUAAGAACAUAGUGUGGCAACAUGUACUUCAUGUCACGGUCAGUUAGAGGGGGAGAAAUUUAAAAGAUCCUUUUUUAUUUAUUUUUUUUUCUUUAAAAGAAAAAAUCUGGACCAUUAAGGAGUUUCUCUCAAAUCUCUUGCAAAGUCAAUAAAUUCAGGACUCUUUAGCAAUCAAGUUUUCAUAGUUCCUAUUGAUUCCAAAUAACAGCAUGUAUAAAAUAGUCUUCUCUGUGGAAAGGGUAAAAUGCUGUGCAUACAGAUCCAGUGCACUGGUGAGGAAUGAACUACCUUGGUGUUCAUUGCUUGCAGCCACCAAGCAGUUCAAGGCCAAGGCUUGAGAUGCCUGCCAGGAGGAUCUCAUCCCUAUCCGUGGGUGUGAACAAGGUAACUGGAGCUGCUGAUGCUGUUUUCCCAGUCCAGACAAGUGCAUUUCCAUCUCAGUGGUAUGACAGGACAGCAGAGGAGCUGCUGCCAUUUCCAGCCUGUGAAAUUCUCCCAAAGAUUCUCAUCUUUAAAGUCUGCAGGCUCUUAAUUGAUGAGGAAGACUUUGGCAUGCAGCUCACAGCAUUAAGCAAAGUCAACUUUUCUUGAUUGGACAGUAAAGGAGAGCAUCAAACAAACUAACCAUACCAUAGCCUUUUGCUGGUUUAGCUUCCUGCCAGUUGCCAGCAUGUUUCACUGAUCUACCAUGCCACUCUGAACUUCAGUGGCACUUCCACAUUUUGGGAUACACUGGGUUUUUGGUUUUUUUUUUUUCCUCUGGCCAGUUCCCAGCUGUCUACUCCUGUCUCUGCAGCUCCAGACACAGAGGAGGCAGUUUGCCUGCUUAAUAGUGCAAGAUGUUUGCUGAUACAUAAAUGGCAGGCUGCUGAAGAGGAUAGAUGUAAAUGUCUGAGAACUUAUUCAGCCCAUCUGAUACUUUAAAUGAAGCGGAGGCCCUGGGGAGAAAAACUAAAGAAAAAGUGUAUGUGAUCAUGUAAUUAAAGACUGGAUCAUAAUGGAUAUGCACAGAAGGGUUGAAUUAAGGUUAUACUGGCAUCUCAGCUUCUAAUAUUUCCUAACUUUUAAGGAAUACAAUGCAACCUUUACAACAUUUCUUUCAUGUUCUUUUGGCAGGAUGUGUUUCUUGACAUUGGUUUGGAGAGAGCCUAGCACUUUGUGAGUUCUGUCAUAAUGGAAAUAAGCAAUAGAAAUACACUUUUAUCUGCGCCACACACACACAUACACACCCUGCAACUAUUGCAACAUGCUCUUUUCACAGCUUUUUCUGAAGGAAGCUGCUGAGUGUUCUCUAUGCCCUUUUCAGCCUUUGAAUAUGCAGUGGCAGCUGUAGUGACAUUAAGAUGCUGUUCCAGGAGACAGAUGUAACCCAGAGUCCGUAGCCAGCUCUGCAUGCCAUGCUGUUCCUCAGGGGACCCCAAGGCCUCCCACCUUGUUGUGUAAAGUUUUCAAGGAGACACUCCUCAAGCUACAGUGGUGAUAUGGGAGUCCUCCCUGGAAAAACUUUGGCUCCAUGGUUUGGUUGUAUCCAGAGACAGCAGCAGCCAGCCCCUCUCAUUACAGGGAGCUCAAGAGGGGAUGGAAAGACUCAGAGGGGCUAGGGCAGGCUGUCAGCAUUGGCCAUAACUAUGGUAUGUUCAUUCCAGGAAAUCCAUCUCAUGAUAGCCUAAAAUGAAAUUUUUGCAAAACUUUAGCAAAACAAAGCAAACUUUGCUUCACUUACUCCAUACAGAAAAAGAUUUGCACUAUGGGAGAUAAGCUUGAUUUCAAAGGGGAGGCUCACUGAGAAGAUAUUUCAUUGUGGCAUGAGCCUCAGGUCUGGCCAGGACAGAAACCAGAAUCUGGCCAGGACAGAUUCAACAGAAGACUUUUCCUAUGCUAUUCCUUUGACUUCAGCAAACAUGCAACAGCAUGCACAUGUAAGAGAUAAAAAGCAAAUUCAGAACAUAGUAUUCUGUUUUGCUUAUAAAGAUGAUUUUUUUUUUUUCCUGAGUGGGAUAGUAGCAGUGUGGCAGCACAUGCAACACUUGUUUUUAAUAAAGCAAUCAUAGUUUGGAUCCAGUAAAAACAAAAAUUUUAAAAAAUAAUAGAAACAGAUAAUUUGAAAGCUUGUCAGUAGGGAGAACUCUUCACAACAUAGCUAUACAUAAUCAUUAUUACCCAUUCAGAUUUUCUUUUUUAUAAAUUUAGGAAUUAAACAGGAUAGAAUAAUCUAGAUGACAUAAACAGUCAUUCAUUACAACCCUGAAUAGAAGCUGUUAACUUAUAUUAAAGUGAAAGUAGCUUGUAAGUGAAAAGAAUGAUUCAACCAUUUGCUGUUGUGCUCUGCAAUCAGAUGAUGUCAUCUCAAAUUCCAAAUUUUUACUUUUCCUGUAGUUUUUUAUAGUAAAGCUGGGAUAGGGGAGGGGAUCAUGAAGAGGUUUAUAGUUCUCUGCUUCUUAGAACUUUAUUUUUUCUGGCCUGCCAUGUAAUUUUAGGAAGAUCUGAAAUAGUUUCCAACACCCUUGUCUGUAGUGGCUGCAUUAUGGGCUCUUGCACUGCCUGGUGACUGCCGUAGCAGCCCGUGUUGGUCAGCACAAGGCUCUCAGUAACCCUAUGGUCAGGCAGAGGAAAAACCAGGAAGUUAUUAUGAUACCUUUAUUUCCUGACUUUAAGAAUUAAAACUUACUGUCUGUAGAUUUUAAGUGCAAAUUCCAUUCAAAUACAUAAAGAUUUUUAAGAAACCAAUAUGUUGGUCCUGCAAGUAUUUUUUUCCUUAGUAUUUGAACCUUGUGUAUUUUGAUUUAUAAUGUAGUUAAAAAUCUAGACAUAUUUUUAAAAUCUUUUAAUAAACAUCUGAGAAAAAUCUUUUUCAUUUCUUUUCCAAUGAUGUCCUGAAAAUUUCCCAAGCAGCUUUAUUAAGAUUCAUUAUUUGGAAAUCAAGCACACUUUUAAAUUGGUGGCUUCUUUAGAGCAGUUAUUAAGUAAUAGCAACAAAACCACCAAAGGUACCUGUCUCAAAAAUGCAUCAAAAUACCAAAACAUGGAGACAUUGUAAUGAUAACCCUGGAGAUUUUAGGCCAUAUCUUCAGAGAUUACAAAGGAUAUUACCUACUAUGCACUUACUAAAACAGAAAAAAACAGUAAAACAGUGAUUACAAUAUUUAGCUAGACAUAAGCACCUGCCUCACUACACUCCCAACAUCUCUCCACCAAAGUUGGACAUGUGGGGUUUUUGGCUUGUAAAUCAAGUGUCUCUGCAGGAGUUUCAUUUUUUUGCAGGUCUGGCUUUGGAGGUCAAGUUAUUUCAUUUUAACUGGUUUGGGUUUUUUUUGUCCUUUUAUUAUGGUCAGUCUAUCUAAAUCCUACAUAUCAAUGCAGUAAAUACUUUGGUGCAAGAACAGGCACUUAUGUUUUUCCCCUCAUUUUUUUCUAGCCAACACUUGCCAUAACUUAUUAUCUUUACCACUGUCAUUUGUAGUCAUGGCACUGCUCCUGUUACAGCUUUUUUUCUCCUUGCAACACUAUUAACUCAGGCAUUUUAAUCAGUCUCAAAAUUCUCAGGACAAAAUUAAUAUAAUUAGUUCUCUAGGAUAGAUUUGGCAGGGUAAAAGAAGCAUCACAUAGAGACUCUGUGUUAUUACCUUCCUUGGAGCACUGAGAGAUUUUCUGGAUAUUAUCAGGUGGGAAAAAAUUAAAAUCACAGCUACACAGUUCUUACUUGAUUGUGUGGCUUUAUAUACAGUGCUGUUCAAUUGCAUUUACAUGUGAACACUUCACUCAUGCCCACGUGAAAGUGUAGUCACUCAUCCCUUUAGCAGGUUUCUAGUGCGUGUCGCAUGCCGAAAAUUCAGCUGUUCGGCCGCUCCCCGUGUGACUUGAAUUCUUUCCCCAGAUGGGAUGAAGAACCCUGAACACUCAAUAACUUACUUUCCUGAAUUCAGUCAUGUGAGUAAUGUCCCUGGCAAUGAUGAGAUUAUCCUCAUAAUUGCGAAUGAACAGCAUUGUGAUUUUAGGCCCCAAAGUCCAAGACUUUGAAAGCCAGAGCUCCCACUGAUUUUGCUUCUUUCUUAGGCAUGUGCUGUAAACUGAGGAAUUUGCUUGGUCCUAUUCCUAUAAAUUCCUAUAAAUUACCUAUUCCAAACAAAAAACCAACCAAACAAACAAACAGAAAAAACAACUGAACCCCUCCCCCCCAAAAACCCAACCAACCAACCAAAAAAAAGUUCUUGUUUUUUAAUGGUACUAUUUUAGAGGAAACAAGAGUUAUCUGAUCAUUUAGACAAGGAUCCUUUAUAAGCAUGCUUGAUAACACUAGGAAAGCAGGGAGAGGAGCCUGAAUACAAGUAGAGAUAGUAAUCUAGUUAUUUCACCAAAAAAAGAAAGUUUUUUUCCUUCAUUUUUUUAAAGGAAAUCAGAAACAACUAACUAAAAUAGAAACAAAAAUCUUGACAGCACAAAUAUACACCUCUAUUAAAUUAGGCCAUCAGUUCUGACUUAGAUUAACCACAUGUCUUAAAUAGGCAUGUGAUGAAAAACAAGAAAAUCACAGUUUUUUAAUUAAAAAAAAGGGAAAAAAUAGAGAUGCAUAGCAUCUGUGAAUCAAAAAAUCCCAGUCUUUUGAUCUAUGUCUUUUCAUUUUCUGCUUCUAAUAGCACCUUCAGUGACCAUUUUUCCCCCUCAUGUUUGUCUCUGAUGCAUUUUCAGACACAGAGGAACAAAAGCUGCUUGAUACCCCUCUUACAAUAGCAAGGAGAUGUGCCUGGCUGUGUGGGAGGAGCCACUCAAUUCUUCAGUGUAGUGCUGGGUACACAUGCUUCAAGCAGCAUUAAGUGUUCCUGGGAGCAGGGAACAGAGUGUUCCAGCAGGAUCUAACAUACAGGCAAAGAUAGAAAGCCAUUUUCUUCACAACUAGCAGUGCAUUAAUACAUGAUCCCAAGCUUGCAAAGGACGAACUUACUGUUUCGGAACUUUUUCUUUUCUUUUUCACAUCUUAAUUCACUUUUAAAUUAU